AGAUGAACGUGGAGAUGCGCCAUGAUCACAAAUGUGGCUUUCCCAGGGUGAGGCUUAUCAAUUGCACUCCGGAUGUGCAGACCCCUGCAAUUUCCCCAAACGUGGGAAACUCGACUGCAUAAUUUGCGGUAGUGGGGGACUGCGUUUGCGCUCUCCCCUG
ensembl:snRNA U1 U1 spliceosomal RNA